rnacentral:rRNA from 1 species
GGGUGAGUAACACGUGAGUAACCUGCCCCCUUCUUUGGGAUAACGGUCGGAAACGGCUGCUAAUACCGGGUAUUCACUGUCCUUCGCAUGGGGGGUGGUGGAAAGGUUUUUUCUGGUGGGGGAUGGGCUCGCGGCCUAUCAGCUUGUUGGUGGGGUGAUGGCUUACCAAGGCUUUGACGGGUAACCGGCCUGAGAGGGUGACCGGUCACAUUGGGACUGAGAUACGGCCCAGACUCCUACGGGAGGCAGCAGUGGGGAAUAUUGCACAAUGGGCGAAAGCCUGAUGCAGCGACGCCGCGUGAGGGAUGACGGCCUUCGGGUUGUAAACCUCUUUCGCUCAUGGUCAAGCCGCAACAGUGGUUGUGGUGAGGGUAGUGGGUAAAGAAGCACCGGCUAACUACGUGCCAGCAGCCGCGGUAAUACGUAGGGUGCGAGCGUUGUCCGGAAUUAUUGGGCGUAAAGGGCUUGUAGGCGGUUUGUCGCGUCUGCCGUGAAAUCCUCUGGCUUAACUGGGGGCGUGCGGUGGGUACGGGCAGGCUUGAGUGCGGUAGGGGAGACUGGAACUCCUGGUGUAGCGGUGGAAUGCGCAGAUAUCAGGAAGAACACCGGUGGCGAAG